rnacentral:rRNA from 1 species
AUGUCCAAGCUUGAUAGAAUUUUUUGUACUACUGAGUUUGAGUCCAUUUUUCCUCUAGCCAAUGCUAAGGUACUACCUAGGAUUGGGAGUGAUCAUACACCUGUGAUUUGGGAUUCUGGCUGUAAUGAUCCUCCAAAGAAAUCUAGUUUUAAAUUUGAGAAAUGGUGGCUAGCCAGACCUGAAUUUAGAGACAUAAUAGUUAAGGCUUGGAGAACUAAAUGUGCAAGUCCCAACCCUGUGGAUGUUUGGCAGUGUAAAGUUAGGGCUUUUAGAAGACUAGCUAAAGGCUGGAAUGCAAACCUGGAGGUUUUUCUUAGAAACCAUAAGAAAGCACUCAUGGCAGAGUAUGAUAGGAUAGAUAUUAAGGCAGAAGUAGAUGGUCUUAAUGAGGUGGAUAGGAAUAGGAUGAAGGAGAUUCUCUUUGAGCUUGGGGGGAUUUGGUGCAAAGAAGAAACUAGUACUAGACAGAGAUCUAGAGAUAGAGAUAUCCUAGAGGGAUAUAGGAACACAGCUUACUUCCAAGCUGUGGCUAACCAAAGGAGGAGAAAGAAGUUGAUUCCUGUACUAGAGGAACCUGAGGGGCCCACAUCUGAACAGAGUAAAAUGAUGAAGAUAGCUCUAGAUUUUUAUAAGAAUUUGUUCAAGGAGGAACAAAGACCUAAUAUUGCUUUGAAACAAGAUUUCUUCAAUGUUGAUGAACAAGUUUCUGUAGAAGACAAUAUUAAGCUAGAGGCAAGGUUCACUGAGGAAGAGGUUAGGAAAGCGGUGUUUGAUUCUUACUCAGAUGGGGCUCCUGGCCCAGAUGGGUUGCCUUUUAUGUUCUUUUAGAACUUUUGGGAUAUAAUUAAGAGUGACCUGAUGGCCAUGUUUGAAGCAUGGUAUGAUCAUGACUUAGACAUCUUCAGACUUAACUUUGCAAUGAUCACCCUGAUUCCUAAAGAAGAGGAAGCUAAAGAUAUGAGGAAAUUUAGACCAAUUAGCUUACUCAAUUGUUGCUUUAAGAUUUUUACUAAAGUUCUGACUAAUAGACUAGCUUUGAUUAUUGGUAAACUGAUCUUUGAAAAUCAGUCUGCCUUUAUUAGAGGUAGAUACAUCUUGGAGAGUGUGGUUACUGCACAUGAAGUGUUACAUACUACACACUCUUCUGGUAGGAAGGGGAUGAUUUUUAAAGUAGAUUAUGAAAAAGCAUAUGAUAGAGUGAACUUAGACUUUGUCUAA